AUGGUAGGAUAGAGGCCUACCAUGGUGGUAACGGGUAACGGGGUGUUAGGGCACGACACCGGAGAGGGAGCCUGAGAAACGGCUACCACAUCCAAGGAUGGCAGCAGGCGCGCAAAUUACCCAAUCCCGACACGGGGAGGUAGUGACAAUAAAUAACAAUACGGGGUUCUUUAGGAUCUCGUAAUUGGAAUGAGUACAAUUUAAAUCUCUUAACGAGGAACAAUUGGAGGGCAAGUCUGGUGCCAGCAGCCGCGGUAAUUCCAGCUCCAAUAGCGUAUAUUAAAGUUGUUGCAGUUAAAAAGCUCGUAGUUGAAUUUCGGGGUCAGUAGGUCGGUCGUGCCACUGGUAUGAACUGGUUUUACUGAUUCCUCCCUCUUGAAGAACUGUAAUGCCAUUAAUUUGGUGUUGCAGGGAAUCAGGACUGUUACUUUGAAAAAAUUAGAGUGUUUAAAGCAGGCUUUAGCUUGAAUACAUUAGCAUGGAAUAAUGAAAUAGGACGUUUGAUCCUAUUUUGUUGGUUUCUAGGAUUGACGUAAUGAUUAAUAGGGAUAGUUGGGGGCAUUAGUAUUCAAUUGUCAGAGGUGAAAUUCUUGGAUUUAUUGAAGACUAACUACUGCGAAAGCAUUUGCCAAGGAUGUUUUCACUAAUCAAGAACGAAAGUUAGGGGAUCGAAGACGAUCAGAUACCGUCGUAGUCUUAACCAUAAACUAUGCCGACUAGGGAUCGGAUGAUGUUAAUUUUUUAAUGACUCAUUCGGCGCCUUACGGGAAACCAAAGUGUUUGGG
rnacentral:rRNA from 1 species